GACGAACGCUGGCGGCGUGCUUAACACAUGCAAGUCGAACGAAGUGGCGAACGGGUGAGUAACGCGUAAUCAACCUGCCCUUCAGAGGGGGUUAACAGUUGGAAACGACUGCUAAUACCGCAUACUGAAGGAGGGGAAUGAGUCGGAAGGGCUAGGGGGAGGGGUAACGGACCACCAAGGCGAUGAUCAGGAGCCGGGCUGAGAGGAUGAACGGCCACAUUGGGACUGAGACCCGGCCCAGACUCCUACGGGAGGCAGCAGUGGGGAAUCGUCCGCAAUGGACGAAAGUCUGACGGAGCAACGCCGCGUGAGUGAUGACGGCCUUCGGGUUGUAAAGCUCUGUUAAUCGGGACGCGGUACCGGAAUAGAAAGCCCCGGCUAACUACGUGCCAGCAGCCGCGGUAAUAC
rnacentral:rRNA from 1 species